UUUCUCACUGUGAAGUAUCUA
rnacentral:snRNA from 1 species